rnacentral:rRNA from 1 species
GACGAACGCUGGCGGCGUGCCUAAUACAUGCAAGUAGAACGCUGAAGAGAGGAGCUUACUCUUCUUGGAUGAGUUGCGAACGGGUGAGUAACGCGUAGGUAACCUGCCUUGUAGCGGGGGAUAACUAUUGGAAACGAUAUCUAAUACCGCAUAACAAUGGAUGACACAUGUCACUUAUUUGAAAGGGGCAAUUGCUCCACUACAAGAUGGACCUGCGUUGUAUUAGCUAGUAGGUGAGGUAAUGGCUCACCUAGGCGGCGACACAUAGCCGACCUGAGAGGGUGAUCGGCCACACUGAGACUGAGACACGGCCCAGACUCCUACGGGGGGCAGCAGUAGGGAAUCUUCGGCAAUGGGGGCAACCCUGACCGAGCAACGCCGCGUGAGUGAAGAAGGGUUUCGGAUCGUAAAGCUCUGUUGUAAGUCAAGAACGGGUGUGAGAGUGGAAAGUUCACACUGUGACGGUAGCUUACCAGAAAGGGACGGCUAACUACGUG